AAAUCUGCGCAAAUGUCUGUGACGUCCUCUAAAGAUACAUCUCCCUUCCCAGCUCCACCUGCAAAACACAAGUACAAUUUCUCACCGCACCAAUCGUGCAUAUAUUGUGCAAGAAUAAACAUUUCUACCCGUGACAAAUAUAUUUUUUUACAUCCCCUUGAAAUAACCCUUCGAGUCGCUAAAGCAGCGUGUCACGUGACGCCUUCAACCGCUCGAAAAACUACCGCGUGUGCACUUUUAAACACAAAGACGAUAUUUAGCAGCCAUAAGCUGUUUUUGCCUGACCUUUGGGUCAUGCGGCUUUGAAAUAGACGUUUAAUGAACAACGAGGAGCCGUUUGGAAGGCUUUAAGUAGAAGCCCGAAUUGCGCAAAAAAAAAAAACAACGCCAACGACGCUUCACACCCGGCGGCGAGAAAUUCGACCGCGUUAUGGGAAUGGAUGGCUAAAAUACGGCUCGGAUGUGGAAUUAUUUAUCAAAGCGGGUCGAUAUAGGGCCGCUCGAGUGCUUCGGCCCACUGGGCGACUAGUAGCAGACAUGCUCGCCUAUUCAAGGCGCAGUGUUCCUCGCCUACGCGCUGCUACGACAUUUCCAUACACCAGUGGAGACAGUAUUCCCGAAAGAGUGCGAGGACUCAGCUACCAAUAAACAGCCAACAUUGGGUAUCCUUAUUUCUGCACAGCAAGGAAAGGAGGGGGGGGGGAGAA